AUUGAACGCUGGCGGCAGGCCUAACACAUGCAAGUCGAGCGGAUGAAGGGAGCUUGCUCCUGGAUUCAGCGGCGGACGGGUGAGUAAUGCCUAGGAAUCUGCCUGGUAGUGGGGGAUAACGUCCGGAAACGGGCGCUAAUACCGCAUACGUCCUGAGGGAGAAAGUGGGGGAUCUUCGGACCUCACGCUAUCAGAUGAGCCUAGGUCGGAUUAGCUAGUUGGUGGGGUAAAGGCCUACCAAGGCGACGAUCCGUAGCUGGUCUGAGAGGAUGAUCAGUCACACUGGAACUGAGACACGGUCCAGACUCCUGCGGGAGGCCGCAGUGGGGAAUAUUAGACAAUGGGCGAAAGCCUGAUCCAGCCAUGCCGCGUGUGUGAAGAAGGUCUUCGGAUUGUAAAGCACUUUAAGUUGGGAGGAAGGGCAGUAAGUUAAUACCUUGCUGUUUUGACGUUACCAACAGAAUAAGCACCGGCUAACUUCGUG
rnacentral:rRNA from 1 species